GGCGGAAGCCCGGGCGGAAGUGGAGAGGGGGACCAGCAGGCAGCAGCAAGAAUUCGGCCAUGCUAUAAAGAUCAGACAGGGAAGGUAAACUGGUACAGAAGAAAUAGAAGGUUCUAUUCAGCUGAUGGAGAAUUCAGUCGAGAAACACGUUGCAAGGAAAUAAAGAGUUGUUUUUAAACUUUUCUUUUGGAAGUAUUGAUUCCAAAUCGUGCUGAUUAUUUCUUCAUCUGUCCGUUGGUGAACCAAGUACCCCUGGAGUCUCUCCCGGACCGCACUCAUCAGUGUAUUAGCCUCUGAAAAGUGCUAGCCUGCUCUUGAGCACCGGUCACAGCACGAUGCAACUUGUUCUGGUGAGCUUUUUACUUCUAAUCCUACAUAUCAGUUGUAUAAAAUACACUAGGAGGCGCCCCUUUUCCUUUUCUUCAUUUCUACAGAUCACCCAACACACCGGGUUUUAAAGUGGAGCAGCUUGUUUAUCCUUAAUACCAUUGGAACACUGGUCAUCGUUCCCCAGCUGUUAUUUUGGACAUUAUUAACACUCAAGGAACUGGUAUUUGUUUUUGAAUCAACUUUGACUUUGAUGUGCUCAACACAAUUUGUUUUUGUCACUUGAUACUGUUUGAUACUGUUUGAUUUAUUAUUAUUCCAACCUAUUUUGUUUGAUGUUUACACAUGAUUUUGGUGUGCCCCCUUUUUAGGAUAUCCCUACAGGUAUCCUCUUAUUUUUUCCAUAAUGAAUAGACCACCCCUCUACCCCAAUUCCACAUUUCUCCCCCUCUGGCCGACCUAAAAUAAUAAUAUAAUUUGGACAUAUUCUGUGUUGUAUAUUACUAUGAUAAUUUUAUUACUAUUGGGAUCCAAAAGUGGUCCCAUAUAUUACAGUUGCCUUCUCUACAGUUAUUUUGAAGAAGAUAGAAGAAGCCCAAAAGUGACUCAGUGUGCCAGUUGGAAGGCUUUGCUGCAGAUUCUAUAUCAUAAAACCAAAAAUCUGAAGUCUUUGCUGUCCAGAAUUAUCUAAAAGCUGCAGAUUAGCUUUCUGUAUAGCUUAGAGUUCGCACAUUUAAACCCUCAUAUAUUGCUAUAUGAUUGUACAUGUGAUAUUACUACAGCACGCUGCUUAUGUUUCUGAUUGUAUGUUUGGAUAACAGUUUGUAACGUGUCUAUAUUGUUGUAUCAAUGGCAAACCUCAAAAAAAAAAAAAAAGAAUUUCUGUUCAAUGAUCA